GCGGAAUGGAUUCUUUUCGUCUUGCGAGGCACCACUGUAAAUCAAAAUUUAUUUUUUUUAUUUUUAUUCUGCUGAGGUUCCCCAUCCCUUCGCCAGGGGUGGGUAUCUCUCCAUUGCCUGGGCUAUUUUGCACCCCACUCUGCCCUCUCAGAUGCGGAGAGCCCCCCCCCCCACCAUCAAGGACUGACAGCCUGACUUUUGUAUUUCAGCUGCUGGAGGACAGACAGCGGUACCUCCUGGGGGGUGAACAAAGAGUGCCAGGCAGCUGAUCUCAGGGAGCUCUGAACCCUGAAGUGCUCCAAGCAGGAGAUGGCCCAAGCCAUUCAGUAUCAUGAGGGCAAAGUUCAGCGGUGAUAUGCUCAUUGCCAUCCUUCACAGGACCCUGGAGGCUGUUCUUGGGGGCCCACAAAAGGAGGAGGACAGAGAGGAACUGAAGCGGCACUUCCGGCUCCUGCUGGGGAGUCUCCUGAUGGAAGUCCCCAAUUCUGGCACCCUCCUCCAGCUGCUCAGUGUGUCCUGAUGGCCCAUAUGUG